AUUUAGUGGGCAUGUUAUUUAAAUUGUAUGGUUAGGUCACAUUAGAUGAAAAAGGUACCAUGUUUCGCUUCCAGGUUUCCGGCGCAUCUAGGAGGAAUCACAGGUAGGUAAUUUGUUGGUAAGUAUGGGUUCAUUUGUUUUUUAGGUGUUGUCGUGACUUGGCCUUUGGGUUGCCAGCCAGCUCAUGCCGGCCACAGGUGAAGAGUAGGCGUUGGUGUGAGGUAAGUAGAAUCCUGCAAGGAGAGAAUGAUUUGCCAGGCAGGAAUCCCGAUAUUCAUCUGUGUGUUUUUAUUUUCAGGUAUGGGCAGGUUGGAGUGAAAGCCCAGUAAGGAGUUGACUUUUCCAGAGCGACCUCGACAGUUCAUGUAAGCUUGUUGGGGCCAGGUGGGACGUCUCAUUGGCACAUUUUGCUGUGUUGUGGCAGUUUGUGUUGUUCAGGUUUUGUGCAUCAGGAUUGGAGAUGUCGGAUCCGAAGGCGCCGACCAGAAGGACUCCGCUGGUGUGAAUUUGAUGAGAAAUUCGACAGCGUCAGUCAUGGAUUGCUCCUGUUUGGAUCCCGCAUCAAUGUCAUCAGCUGACCGAUGACCAAAUUUAGCUGCUGCAUCAUGGCCAUGAGGUCUCGAUAUAUUGGCUGCAUUUGACCAGGAGUAUCUGCUUCUUGUGGCAGUCGUUGUU